AGAGUUUGAUCCUGGCUCAGGAUGAACGCUGGCGGCGUGUCUAAGGCAUGCAAGUCGAAUGGCUGUAGCAAUACAGCCAUGGCAAACGGGAGAGUAACACAUUGGUAACUUACCCCUAAGACGAGGAUAACCUUGCGAAAGCGAGAGUAAUACUCGAUGGUAUUAAAGGACAUGAGUCCUUUAAUUAAAGCUCCGGCGCUUAGGGAGAGGCCUAUGGCCUAUCAGCUAGUUGGUGAGGUAAUAGCUCACCAAGGCUACGACGGGUAUGGGGUGCGAGAGCAUGACCCCACUCACUGGGACUGAGACACUGCCCAGACUCCUACGGGAGGCUGCAGUCAAGAAUCUUCCUCAAUGGGCGAAAGCCUGAAGGAGCGACGCCGCGUGUAUGAAGAAGCUCUUCGGAGUGUAAAGUACUUUUAUCAGGGACGAAUCAAUGACGGUACCUGA
rnacentral:rRNA from 1 species